UAGUGCUGCAAUGUAAACAUUGCAUUUUUUCUGGAACUGCAAUGUUUUACAUUGCAGAACUA
rnacentral:miRNA from 1 species